rnacentral:rRNA from 1 species
GACGUAGGGCGCGAGCGUUGUCCGGAUUUAUUGGGCGUAAAGAGCUCGUAGGCGGCUUGUCGCGUCGUGUGUGAAAUCUCAGGGCUCAACUCUGACAUUGCAUACGAUACGGGCAGGCUUGAGUUCGGUAGGGGAGACUGGAAUUCCUGGUGUAGCGGUGAAAUGCGUAGAUAUCAGGAGGAACACCUGUGGUGUAGACGGCUCUCUGGACAGUAACUGACGCUGAGACACGAAAGCGUGGGUAGCAAACAGG